rnacentral:lncRNA from 1 species
UAUAGAGACGUUACGGUAUAAUGCUACCAGUAACGUCAAAGAGAGUUCUUAGCAAUACAAAACGAAUCUGCAUGAAAGCAGCCAUAACGGACGCAAGAAGAAAGUUUUUUCGAACCACCAACAUACUGAUAACCCUUGAGGACAGGCUACGACAACUGCAAGUACAAGAAAGUGUAUUUAAUGACAUUGAAAACAGGCAAGAAAAUUUACGAAGAAGCCUCAGAAAUAGAUAUAUCAAGAAAUUAAAAUGGAUAUUUAAAAAACAACGUGUCACUAGGCGGAUAACACAAUUACCGCAAAAAAAGUAGUUACUGUUAUUGGGGACAUAAACUUACCAUCUUAUGCAGUGGAACUUUUUAGAAAAGGGCCGACAUGUGCCAUCGAAAGAGCAUUAGGAGUAAAAACUGAAAUACGCUAUCUUGAAGAUAUAAUAGAUAACAUGCAAGUACAAGCUGUUGAAAAAGAGAAAUUUAGAUGGGAAUAUGUGAGAGAGAGAACCCAUAGACAGACACGCACAGUUAAUAACAGAAUACAGAAAUAUGACUUACAGUUAAUCAAGAACACUAAGAGUUGGCUGGAAAAGAAUAAUAUUACUGUGACCCGUGAAGAUAAAACCAAGAAAAUAGUUCUAUUAAAAAAUGAGGA